CCGCCGCCCCCGGGGCGGGGGGGGCUGCUGGCGAUGGCAGGAAACCCCAAAAGCCAGAAAAUGCAGCGCUCCGGCUCCUUGGCAGUCCAGCCCGGGGACCGGCGGAGCCAGCGCUCUGCAAAGCGUUUUUUUUUUUUUUCCCCUGCUGCUGCUUUUUGGGCCCGUGCCUUUCCUAAUUUAACUGGAACUGCGCAAGGAGGCUUGUUUUGGUCGGACUCCAGCCCUGGACAAACAAACCGGCCUCGAAGGAGGCCUCGGGUUCAGGGCCGGGCUGUAAACAGCAGCGAAUCCCCUGCUGCCAGCGGGGCAGAAAGUUCGCGCCGUGCCGGACCGCGGCUCCGGCCGGGCGCCCGCGCGCUCUGCCCGGCUCCCCGGCCCUCUCGGGCAGGCGGCGCUCGCCGCGGCCGCCCCCGCGGAGGAUGCUCGGGGCAGAGCUGCACCGCAGCGGCUCUCUUCCCCAAAACAGCUGGAGAGCCACAUCGAGGCGAGCAUGAAGCCGGAGGCGGCGCAGCUGCAGCGGGCGGCGGUGCAGAACCAGACCGCGGCGGUGCUGGAGAUGGGCAGCACCCUGCUGAACCGCACGGCCGAGCAGACCCGCAAGCUCACCGACGUGGAGGCGCAGGUGCUGAACCAGACGUCGCGCAUCGAGAUGCAGCUGCUGGAGAACUCCCUGUCCACCAGCAAGCUGGAGAAGCAGCUGCUGCUGCAGACGAACGAGAUCCACAAGCUGCAGAACAGCAACAACGUCCUCGAGAUGCGGGUGCUGGAGAUGGAGAGCAAGCACCAGGCGGAGCUGGCGGGCAUCCGCGCGGAGAAGGAGAGGCUGCAGCGCCUGCUGAGCCGGCAGAGCGGCACCAUCGAGGACCUGGAGAAGUGGCUGCAGGCGGCCAGCGCCAACGCCAGCCUGCUCCAGCGGCAGCAGCUGCAGCUCCGGGAGUCGGUGCAGAGCCUGGCGCAGCUCGUGGCGCGGGGCGCAGCCCCGCUGCCGAGGGAGGAGCAGCUCUUCCAGGACUGCGCCGAGCUCCGGCGGGCCGGCGUCCGCGCCAGCGGGGUCUACACCCUCCACAUCGCCAACCUGAGCGAGCCCAAAAAGGCGUACUGCGACAUGGAGACGGACCGAGGCGGCUGGACGGUGAUGCAGCUCCGCGCCAACGGCAGCGUCAGCUUCCAGAGGACCUGGAAGGAGUACAAGCAGGGCUUCGGCGACCCGGCGGGCGAGCACUGGCUGGGGAACGAAGCCGUGCACCUGCUGACGAGCCAGGCGCCCUACGCGCUGCGCGUGGAGCUGCUCGACUGGGAGGGCGCGCAGGCGCACGCCCGCUACGAGAGCUUCCAGCUGGGCAGCGAGCGGCAGCUCUACAGGCUGGCGCUGCAGGGCUACAGCGGCACGGCGGGGCCGCGCAGCGCCAUGGUGCUGCAGGGCGCCAGCUUCAGCACCCGCGACGCCGACCACGACAACUGCCUCUGCAAGUGCGCCCAGAUGCUCUCGGGAGGCUGGUGGUUCGACGCCUGCGGCCUCUCCAACCUCAACGGCGUCUACUACCCGGCCCGGCACAACAUCCGCAAGCUCAACGGCAUCCGCUGGCACUACUUCCAGGGGCCCAGCUACUCGCUCAAGGGCACCCGCAUGCUCAUCCGGCCGGCGGGCUUCUAGCGCGCCCGGCGGCACGGGGCGCCGCGGCGGCACGGGGCCGGCCCGCGCGCACCCCCCGCCGCGGCGCCCGGCCCCAGCGCCGGAGCCGGCAGCGCUCGGCCCCGCGUCCCCCCGGGAAGGGCCGGCUCGAAAAGCAGCUGCAAGGAGGCUUUUCGCCCCGCUGUUAUUUUUUCCUUCAGUUUAUCUCAUCCUCCAGGAAGCCGUAGGUCGGAGCCGCGGCUCCGAGCCCGUAUCCAGGGCCUCUGCCAGCUCUUUCCGACCCAGUUUCGGCACCCAGAAGCUCCCGGCUCAGCGACAGCUGCAGCGCACGGACCCGGCACAGACCCAGCGCAGAGCCGUGCAGACCUGGUGCAGAUCCGGUGCAGACCCAGCGCAGACCUGGUGCAGAUCCGGCGCAGAGCCCGUGCAGACCUGGUGCAGAUCCGGUGCAGACCCAGCGCAGACCUGGUGCAGAUCCGGCGCAGAGCCCGUGCAGACCUGGUGCAGAUCCGGUGCAGAUCCGGUGCAGACCCAGCGCAGACCUGGCGCAGAACUGAUGCAGACCCAGCACAGACCUGGCGCAGACCCGGUGCAGACCCAGCGCAGACCUGGUGCAGAUCUGGUGCAGGCCCGGCUCAGACCGGGCGCAGACGGCCCCGGGCAGAGGCGCAGGCGCCCUGGGCUCUGCGCAGAGCCCUCUCGCCGGCCCCAUCGCUGCGGAGAAGCACCCGGCACGAGGCAAAGCCGGACCCCGACACGCGGCCGGGCGCCGACAGCCGCUUUCUGCAGGGCAGCUCAGCCCCCUCCGCAGCCGAAAGGAGCCCUUGGCUCCCCUGCUGCCACCCCGUCCCGUCCCACCCCACCUCCGGAGCAGGGCUGCAUCACUGUCCUGUCACCGUGUCCCUCUCAGGCCUGUUGCCACUAGAGGUCACCAGCAGCCCACGAGGGACAUGGGUGCAUGGGUGACACUGGCCACCCCAGUAUGUCCCCGUGUCACCCCCCCGCCAGAUCCCAGCGGGGGGCACAGCAGUGCCCAGGAGCUGCGCCCGGCCCUGGCACGGGGGUGCUGCGGCGGCCGCCUGCCCCGUUUCGCCUUGCGCAUCGUCAUCCCCUGAGCAGCACCCAGAGCCCCUCGCUUCCAGGAAAGGUGCUCAGGGACCCCCGGACUGUCCCCCCACCCCAGACAGGGCCCAGCAUCAUCCUGCACACCCCCGCUGCACCUAGGGGUUGGGUGCACGAGUGCACAUGCACGUGCAUGCACCCACGGACACGUAUGCACCACGGACACGCAUGCACCACGGACACGCAUGCACCCACGGGCACGUGUGCUGGCACCGUGGGCUGGGGGGCCGGGCAGGGAGCCGCAGGGAGGGGCCGUGCCGCUGCACGCAGCUGGGCAGGGCAGCAGCACCCGGGGCCGCGCCGGCACGCGCCUCCGGCUCCUGGCACCGGCUGUGCACGCAGCAUUAAAGCAAAACUUUUCAUUUCUUUCCCUCAAAGCCGUCUCGAGGCAUUAGCUAAUUAACGCUGAUUAAAACACAUGACACAGUUGGCACCUCCAGAAA